rnacentral:rRNA from 1 species
GGCGUAAGCGUGCGUAGGUGGUUGUUUAAGUCUGUUGUGAAAGCCCUGCCGCUCAACCUGGGAACUGCAUUGGAAACUGGACAACUAGAGUGUGGUAGAGGGUAGCGGAAUUCCCGGUGUAGCAGUGAAAUGCGUAGAGAUCGGGAGGAACAUCCAUGGCGAAGGCAGCUACCUGGACCAACACUGACACUGAGGCACGAAAGCGUGGGGAGCAAACAGGAUUAGAUACCCUGGUAGUCC